rnacentral:misc_RNA from 1 species
AACGGUCUAUACCUGCGGUACCUGCGGAGGGAUCAUUAUUGAAUGUUGCCUUGAUAGGUUGUCGCUGGUUCCUUGUAAUGGGGGGCAUGUGCACGCCUGUCUUGACUUCAAUUCAUCCACCUGUGCACCUUUUGUAGUCUUUUUCUGAGGGGGGGCUGGGGAAAUGGCAGCUCAGACUGUCACUGAACCUUUUCCACUUGGAGUGGGGCUAUGUUUUUUUACAUAUACUGUUAGAAUGUU